rnacentral:rRNA from 1 species
GAGUUUGAUCCUGGCUCAGGACGAACGCUGGCGGCGUGCUUAACACAUGCAAGUCGAGCGAUGAAGCUUCCUUCGGGAAGUGAAUUAGCGGCGGACGGGUGAGUAACACGUGGGUAACCUGCCUCAAAGUGGGGGAUAGCCUUCCGAAAGGAAGAUUAAUACCGCAUAACAUAAGAGGAUCGCAUGAUUCUCUUAUCAAAGAUUUAUUGCUUUGAGAUGGACCCGCGGCGCAUUAGCUAGUUGGUAAGGUAACGGCUUACCAAGGCAACGAUGCGUAGCCGACCUGAGAGGGUGAUCGGCCACAUUGGAACUGAGACACGGUCCAGACUCCUACGGGAGGCAGCAGUGGGGAAUAUUGCGCAAUGGGGGAAACCCUGACGCAGCAACGCCGCGUGGGUGAUGAAGGUCUUCGGAUUGUAAAGCCCUGUUUUCUGGGACGAUAAUGACGGUACCAGAGGAGGAAGCCACGGCUAACUACGUGCCAGCAGCCGCGGUAAUACGUAGGUGGCGAGCGUUGUCCGGAUUUACUGGGCGUAAAGGGUGCGUAGGCGGAUGUUUAAGUGGGAUGUGAAAUCCCCGGGCUUAAUCUGGGGGCUGCUUUCCAAACUGGAUAUCUAGAGUGCAUGAGAGGAAAGCGAAAUUCCUAGUAGGGGGUAUCAGCUCCACUUGUGCUGCAGUUAACGCAAUAAGUAUCCCGCCUGGGGAGUACGGUCGCAAGAUUAAAACUCAAAGGAAUUGACGGGGGCCCGCACAAGCAGCGGAGCAUGUGGUUUAAUUCGAAGCAACGCGAAGAACCUUACCUGGACUUGACAUCCCUUGCAUAGCCUAGAGAUAGGUGAAGCCCUUCGGGGCAAGGAGACAGGUGGUGCAUGGUUGUCGUCAGCUCGUGUCGUGAGAUGUUAGGUUAAGUCCUGCAACGAGCGCAACCCUUGUUAUUAGUUGCUACCAUUAAGUUGAGCACUCUAAUGAGACUGCCUGGGUAACCAGGAGGAAGGUGGGGAUGACGUCAAAUCAUCAUGCCCCUUAUGUCCAGGGCUACACACGUGCUACAAUGGUAGGUACAAUAAGACGCAAGACCGUGAGGUGGAGCAAAACUUAUAAAACCUAUCUCAGUUCGGAUUGUAGGCUGCAACUCGCCUACAUGAAGCUGGAGUUGCUAGUAAUCGCGAAUCAGAAUGUCGCGGUGAAUACGUUCCCGGGCCUUGUACACACCGCCCGUCACACCAUGAGAGCUGGUAACACCCGAAGUCCGUGAGGUAACCGUAAGGAGCCAGCGGCCGAAGGUGGGAUUAGUGAUUGGGGUGAAGUCGUAACAAGGUAACCGUA